UUUGAUCGAUCCCAGCCACAGCGGCUGCUGCGGCGGCCGGUUGCGGCCGUAGGUGGCCAGCAGCGCAUGCGCCUC
rnacentral:antisense_RNA from 1 species